rnacentral:rRNA from 1 species
UGGGGAAUUUUGGACAAUGGGCGAAAGCCUGAUCCAGCAAUGCCGCGUGUGUGAAGAAGGCCUUCGGGUUGUAAAGCACUUUUGUCCGGAAAGAAAUCCUUGGCUCUAAUACAGUCGGGGGAUGACGGUACCGGAAGAAUAAGCACCGGCUAACUACGUGCCAGCAGCCGCGGUAAUACGUAGGGUGCAAGCGUUAAUCGGAAUUACUGGGCGUAAAGCGUGCGCAGGCGGUUUGCUAAGACCGAUGUGAAAUCCCCGGGCUCAACCUGGGAACUGCAUUGGUGACUGGCAGGCUAGAGUAUGGCAGAGGGGGGUAGAGUUCCACGUGUAGCAGUGAAAUGCGUAGAGAUGUGGAGGAAUACCGAUGGCGAAGGCAGCCCCCUGGGCCAAUACUGACGCUCAUGCACGAAAGCGUGGGGAGCAAACAGGAUUAGAUGCCCUGGUAGUCCACGCCCUAAACGAUGUCAACUAGUUGUUGGGGAUUCAUUUCCUUAGUAACGUAGCUAACGCGCGAAGUUGACCGCCUGGGGAGUACGGUCGCAAGAUUAAAACUUAAAUGAAUUGACGGGGUCAUAGCUGUUUCCU